CUGGAAAGGGUGAGUGUGCUGGGAGAGGCCAGGGGACUUCUCAGAGAUGGUGCCUGAUUGUGGAGUCGGCUUUGAAUUUCUUCUCUGUGAACUGUUCUAGCUCUGAGGCAUGGGAAUAAUUUGAAGUGUAUCAGUCUUGAAUUAGAUCCUGGUUAAAGUUUUUGACCUGCAUACUAAUAUUUCAUGUGUUUCCUCUUCUUCCUCCAGCUAUCUCCCCUGGUUCGAGGUAUUUUAUAAGCUGCUUAACAUCCUGGCAGAUUACACGACAAAAAGACAGGUAUUUACCUUUUAAAAAUAAUUCUUUUAAACAAAUAAGCUUUAAUUUUUAUGAUGAAAAAGUAAAACAUGCCUUAUAUUUUACCAAAAAAGUGAUGCAUGCGCAUUAUAGAAAGUUUGGGAAAUUCAGAAAAUAAUAGGAAGGAAAAGAAAAUCACUUUUAAUUUGCCCCACUCCCUUCCCUAAAAUAAAUAUUCCUAGCAUUUUGGGUUGUUUUCUUUUUUAAGUU
rnacentral:lncRNA from 1 species